UUCCUGAAGUCGAUAACUAGCUCCUUCAUCUUGUUGAUAUUGAGGGAGAGGUUGGUGUCUUGACACCAUGUUUACUAAGUUACCGAUCGCCUUCCUGUACUCUUCAUUGUUUGUGAUUCAGCCUACCAUGUGG